ACUCCACUGUCAUAAGAGGCUGGGGCCCGGACUGAACCAGCCUAGUUUGCUAGGACCGAGGCAGGCGUGCAUGCUGGGAGAGAGCGCACCUCGCUGGGCUUUACUCCAUCUCGCUCAUGGUUCUUCAGGCUGAACGAACGAGAUGGUUUGAGACGAAGCGGAGGAUGAGGAGUGGAUGGGGGGCAUCGAAGGGUCCCCACCCACCCCUCUGUCUCCAGUGGAGAUGGGGAGAAGGACAAAGGAGCUCUCUCCUUCCUCCAGCCCCCCUCCUCAAAAGGGCUGCAGCACAUUACAUGUUUGUGGUCAGGCUGGAGUGAUUGUCAGGAGCAGAGCGUCCUCCUCUGGCAAUGCUUGAAAACGUCUGACUGAAAGAGAAACCGGCUGUUAGUUCAAUCGGUUUAUAGAUAAAUAACAGGUCAGUGCUGGAGGCAACUGUGAGGUUACCACUGUGACGGCAAGGUCAGUAUCUUCACUGUGGUUUGACAUGCUUUCUGCUACAGAAAUAUUGAGGUGAAGAUGGGGCGAGUGGAAUGGGCCUGCUGCAUGUAAACCUGACAUUUUUAAAUAGAUAGGAAGAAGACUUUCACACUCCUAGACUUUCUUUGCAUUUAAAUCAUUCUUAACCAUUGGCCUUAUUCUGUACCAUAUAUGCUAUAAACAUAGAUUAUAUGAGGGUGGUGUUAUCCACAGAAGGGGAAUCGUAAAUCAGCUGAGAAAAAGCUUCGCUAAAAAUCCAUUCGCCAAUAAAAUGGAUGAAAGGUUUUGCAAAUUGUAAACAUUUACCAAAAUUCCCUUCCAGGAGCCACAGUGGUCCCCACUCAAACAGAAGUGUCAUCACAUAAGAGGUCUUCGGCAGCACCUCUGUGUGUUCUGGACCGUUGAAAGACAUUUUAAAUCAAUAAUGAACCAAACCAUCUAGCACUGCCAGAGAAAGCGCAAAAAGUUGAAUGACUCAUAAAUAAUCUUGGCAAAUAACAGCAAUUUCGAUCUAAUAGAGCGAUUUCACAAGUCCAUGAGCAUGGCCACACACACACAUUUACACACAUCUAAGAACACAUAAAUGUACACUCCAAUACACAUUUUAAAUGAAGACUUCAAGACCCCUCCAGCAGUGUCUUUAGGCCACAGUCUUUAUUUAUCCUGAUUCAUUUUAAUUCAUUGAAAUGGUCAGUUAUGAUAUAUUUGACACUUAGCUGUUGAGUGUUGAGUAGACUUGCCUAUCAGCAUGAUAUAUGAUUACAUUAUUAUUAUGACCUGGUUUUCAGCAACACUUAACAGUAUCAAAUUUUCUCUCACAAGAGAAGAAAUUGUUGAAUCAAAGUCAUUUUUAUUUUUGAAUAAUAAUUGUUGAAUAAAAAUUAUUCUAGCAGCUUCAUAGCAUUACGAUUGAACCAGUGAUGUCACAUGGACCAUUUUAACUAUGUCUUUACUACAUUUCUGGGACUGGGA